UCCAAAUUUUUUCCUCAUCUCACGUAAAUUUUGGGGAAAUUUUUCCUCACUUCACCUGAACCUCAUUUUAAAACUAUUUUCCUCAACUCACUAUUUUUCUGAAAAAAGUUCACAUCACCUCAGUCUUCUUCCUAAAGUAUUUUCCUUUGUUGCACCUCAACCUUGUAAAAUAUAUGAUGAAAGAUGGAAGUCACUGAAAAGAGUUUGGGGACCUUCUCUUGAAAGACCUUUGUUCUGAAGCCAUCAGGGAAAACUUCAGACGGCACAGCCGGUGGCGGGAUUCGAACCCACCACCUCCCAUCUUCAGCACGACCUCGGCCAUCACCUAUAGGAGCGGGACGCCUUAACCCGCUUGGCUGUGCCGCUGGUAUGGGGG